UGCGCAGGCGGCCAUGUGUGUGAGGCGUGAAAGCCCGGGGCUUAACCCCGGAAUUGCACCUCAAACUACAUGGCUAGAGCAUUGGAGAGGGUAGCAGAAUUCACGGUGUAGCAGUGAAAUGCGUAGAUAUCGUGAGGAAUACCAGAGGCGAAGGCGGCUACCUGGACAAUUGCUGACGCUCAGGCACGAAAGCGUGGGGAGCAAAAGGGAUUAGAUACCCCUGUAGUCCACGCCCUAAACGGUGCACACUAGGUCUUGGCGGAUUCGACCCCCCCAGGGCCCAAGCUAACGCGUUAAGUGUGCCGCCUGAGGACUACGGCCGCAAGGCUAAA
rnacentral:rRNA from 1 species